UACAGAGGUCCCAAGCGUUGUUCGGAUUCACUGGGCGUAAAGGGUGCGUAGGUGGCCGGGUAAGUUUGAUGUGAAAGCUCGGAGCUUAACUCCGAAAUGGCAUUGAAUACUAUCCGGCUAGAGGGUCGGAGGGGAGACUGGAAUUCUCGGUGUAGCAGUGAAAUGCGUAGAUAUCGAGAGGAACACCAGUGGCGAAGGCGAGUCUCUGGACGACUCCUGACACUGAGGCACGAAAGCGUGGGGAGCGAACAGG
rnacentral:rRNA from 1 species